ACUCUCUCAUUAUGAAACAUGAAUGCUGAGAAGGCAUUUACAGCUUACCAUUUCAUUUUGGAUGUGUGUGUUCAAAUUCAAUCAGGAUACAAACGAAGAGAUUUGAAACACAUUUGCCUGGGAGCAUGGCUAAGCUGACACGUGGCUGAGAAGAAGAUGGGGGAUGUGGGUACCCACAUCACAGUGUUUAUGGCCUCUGUCUGUCUUCAGAUCGCAAAGAUAUUAAUUGAACUCAUUGCCCCAUGAAACCAGCAAGUUUACUUCUGGCAAUGUGGUCACUACGGAACAGCAG